UACGUAGGGGGCAAGCGUUGUCCGGAUUUAUUGGGCGUAAAGAGCGUGUAGGCGGCCUUACAGGUCAGCUGUGAAAACUCGAGGCUCAACCUCGAGACGUCGGUUGAAACCGUAUGGCUAGAGUCCGGAAGAGGAGAGUGGAAUUCCCGGUGUAGCGGUGGAAUGCGUAGAGAUCGGGAAGAACAUCAGUGGCGAAGGCGGCCUGCUGGGCUGUUGCUGACGCUGAGGCGCGACAGCGUGGGGAGCAAACAGG
rnacentral:rRNA from 1 species